CACGUAGGGUGCGAGCGUUGUCCGGAAUUAUUGGGCGUAAAGAGCUCGUAGGCGGUGUGUCGCGUCGGCCGUGAAAACCUGCAGCUUAACUGUGGGCUUGCGGUCGAUACGGGCAUCACUGGAGUUCGGCAGGGGAGACUGGAAUUCCUGGUGUAGCGGUGAAAUGCGCAGAUAUCAGGAGGAACACCGGUGGCGAAGGCGGCGAUCUGGGUAGAUACUGACGC
rnacentral:rRNA from 1 species